rnacentral:rRNA from 1 species
GAUGAACGCUGGCGGCGUGCUUAAUACAUGCAAGUCGAGCGAAGCGCUUUAACGGAAUUCUCCGGAAGGAAGAUAAAGUGACUGAGCGGCGGACGGGUGAGUAACGCGUGGGUAACCUGCCUCAUACAGGGGGAUAACAGUUAGAAAUGGCUGCUAAUACCGCAUAAGCGCACAGGACCGCAUGGUCUGGUGUGAAAAACUCCGGUGGUAUGGGAUGGACCCGCGUUGGAUUAGGUAGUUGGUGGGGUAACGGCCUACCAAGCCGACGAUCCAUAGCCGGCCUGAGAGGGUGGACGGCCACAUUGGGACUGAGACACGGCCCAGACUCCUACGGGAGGCAGCAGUAGGGAAUAUUGCACAAUGGGGGAAACCCUGAUGCAGCGACGCCGCGUGAAGGAAGAAGUAUCUCGGUAUGUAAACUUCUAUCAGCAGGGAAGACAAUGACG